rnacentral:rRNA from 1 species
AUGCACGCUGGCGGCGUGCCUCAUCCCUGCCAGUCGAGCGAACAGACGAGGAGCUUGCUCCUCUGACGUUAGCGGCGGACGGGUGAGUAACACGUGGAUAACCUACCUAUAAGACUGGGAUAACUUCGGGAAACCGGAGCUAAUACCGGAUAAUAUAUUGAACCGCAUGGUUCAAUAGUGAAAGACGGUUUUGCUGUCACUUAUAGAUGGAUCCGCGCCGCAUUAGCUAGUUGGUAAGGUAACGGCUUACCAAGGCAACGAUGCGUAGCCGACCUGAGAGGGUGAUCGGCCACACUGGAACUGAGACACGGUCCAGACUCCUACGGGAGGCAGCAGUAGGGAAUCUUCCGCAAUGGGCGAAAGCCUGACGGAGCAACGCCGCGUGAGUGAUGAAGGUCUUCGGAUCGUAAAGCUCUGUUAUUAGGGAAGAACAAAUGUGUAAGUAACUAUGCACGUCUUGACGGUACCUAAUCAGAAAGCCACGGCUAACUACGUG